CCCGUCCCUGGGAUUCUCCAGGCAAGAACACUGGAGUGGGCCGCCAGUGCCUUCUCCAUAUACUAGUUUACAUCUGCUAAUUCCAAACUCCUAGUCCUUCCCUCCCUGACCUCUCCUCCCCCUUGGACUGCAUUCCUGUAAAAACAUUUUUUUUGCCCUACACUUCUUUGUUUCCCCCUUGCUACCAGCAGGAAUGCAGAGCUGGGGCCAACACGGGUGGACAGUGUUCUCUGGAGCAGGGCUACUCAAAGUGUGGGCCACAGACUGGCUGCUUGAUACAGUCCAUGACAAGGAACAGCCCUCCAGCUCCUACACCAGGAACAAAGGAGGUGGGAGAUUAGUGUGGGGGAGAGCAGAGGAAGCAGCCUGUGCAUGUCCAGAGGGGAACGAGAUCAGCUCCACUGGGAAUACUCCUUUGGGAAUCGAAUCUCACAGCAUUAUUUGUAAGGAUUUACUCAAGGAAUUAUCCAGUUUAAGUACCACGUGUAUUCACGAUCUACAGGUGCCUCCCUGUAUGAGCCUUAGGAGGAGGAGAAGCCGGGCAUGUUUCUGACCUCAAGGAGCCACUGCUGAGUGUUCAGUUGCUCAGGCAUGUCCAGUUCUUUGUGACCCCAUGGACUGUAGCCCAGCAGGCUCCUCGGUCCAUGGGGUUUUCUGGCAAGAAUACUGGAGUGGGUUGCCAUUUCCUCUUCCAGGGGUUCUUCCUGACCCAGGAAUAGAACUGGUGUCUCCUGCAUUGGCAGGCGGAUUCUUUACCACCUGGAAGCCACAGGGAGUCAGACACGCAUGCUUUCUGCAGUGUAUGUAGAGCAGUAAUGUUGUUUGUACUUCCUCGCCCCACCUGCUCCAGGAGGGCAGCCAUUUUGUCCUUUCACAGCGGUGCCCCUGGCACCUAGAAUAGUACCAGGGCACAGUGAGCUCUCAGUGUUUGUGCUGAUGAAUGAGUGCAACAUACCUGUUGAAUGAAUGAGAAAACAAAUCAGAAAGGAACGUCAUGGAGACUGGACCCCAAAGAGGAUCUGCGAGCUACCCACGCCAGGCUCCUGGGACCGGGUCUCGCACCUGUCUACUGACCCUCUGCCCACUGAUCCUUCCAAUACACGAUGGGAGGGUUGCAAAAAGGGCCAAAGGGCCGUUCUGGGAAGAACUGAGAAGACAUCAAGAAAACAACGAUGUGAGGAUUCUGGGAAUAUAGCAGUGAUAUUGGCAACAGCAGCAGACACUGUUGUUUUGCUUUUACACCUUUACUGAGAUAUAAUUCAUAUACCAUACAAUUCACCCAUUUAAAGUGUACAAUUCAGCAAUUUUCAGUAUGUCCACAAAAUUCUGUAACCAUCACCACAGUCAAUUUUAGAACAUUUUUGUCACCCUCAAUAGAAACACUGUUCCUAUUAGUAUUCAUUCCCCAUUUUCCUCCAAACCACGCCCUUCCUCCCAGUCCUAGGCAACCACUAGGGCGGCAUUCUCUCUCUAAAGAUUUGUCUGAUCAGUAUUUGGUCCUUGGUGACUAGCUCUUUGCACUUAGCAUAAUAUUCUCAAGAUUCACCCAUGAUGCAGCAUAUAUCAGUACUUCCUUGUUUUUUAUUGAUGAAUACAAUAUAUGGGUAUAGCACAUUUAAUUUAUUCAUUUAGCCAUUGAAGGACAUUUGGGUCAUUUCCAUUUUGGGGCUGUAACAAAUACUGCAAUUAUGAUAUUUUUAUUAGACAUAUGUUUUCAUUUCUCUUGAGCAUUAUCCUGGAUGGAAUUUCUGGGACAUAAGGAAACUUCAUGUUCACAAUUCGAGGAACUGACAAACUGUUUUCUAAAGCAGCGGCCCCUAACCUUUUUGGCACCAAGAACCAGUUUCAUGGAAGAAAAUGCAACCAAUGGUUCGGGCAGUAAUGCAAGCGAUGGGGAGUGAUGUGGAGCGGCAGAUGAAGCUUCACUUGCUUGCCUGCCGGCCGCUCACCUCCAGCUGUACCAAUCCACAGUCAGGAGGUUGAGGGCCCCCGUUCUAGAGUGACUGCACCAUUUUACAUUCCCUCCAGCUAUAUUUGAGGAUUCUACACCCUUGCUAACACUCGUUUAUCCAUUUUUUUAUUAUGCCCUUCCUAGUGGGUAUCUCAUCUGGUUUUGUGCUUUUAUUUGUUUUUAUUUUAAACUU